rnacentral:rRNA from 1 species
GUAUAGUUUAACUAGUAAAUUAAAGUCUAGGUAAGAAUUCUUCGAUUUUCUAGGGGACGAUAAGACCCUAGAAGCUUUAAAAAAGAAAAAUUUUUAGUGGUUGUAUUGUAUUUUUACUGGGGCGGUAUUAGUGUUUUAACUAUUAGUGAUAAAGAUUGAUCCUUAAUAUAAAGAUAAUUCGGCGAAGUUACUCUAGGGAUAACAGUGCAGUAUUUUUGGAAAGGCCUUAUUAAUAAAAAUGUUCGCAACCUCGAUGUUGAAUUAAGAUGUCUACAUGGGGUAGUAAAUAUGGUAGAGGGUUUGUUCAACCUUUAUAAUCUUACAUG